rnacentral:rRNA from 1 species
GAUGAACGCUAGCGGGAGGCUUAACACAUGCAAGUCGAGCGGUAGGGCAGCAAUGCCUGAGAGCGGCGCACGGGUGCGUAACGCGUAUGCAACCUGCCUUAUACAGGGGGAUAGCCCGGAGAAAUCUGGAUUAAUACCCCAUAGUACAACGCGAGGGCAUCUGAGUGUUGUUAAAGAUUCAUCGGUAUGAGAUGGGCAUGCGUCUGAUUAGCUAGUUGGCGGUGUAACGGACCACCAAGGCGACGAUCAGUAGGGGUUCUGAGAGGAAGGUCCCCCACACUGGCACUGAGAUACGGGCCAGACUCCUACGGGAGGCAGCAGUAGGGAAUAUUGGGCAAUGGUCGGAAGACUGACCCAGCCAUGCCGCGUGCAGGAAGAAGGCGUUCUGCGUUGUAAACUGCUUUUAUCUGGGAAGAAAAGGCCCAUGCGUGGGACAUUGCCGGUACAGAUGAAUAAGCACCGGCUAACUCCGUGCCAGCAGCCGCGGUAAAAC